GCGACCACGCGAGUGUGAGCGAAUCUCAAAAAGACAUCUCAGUUCAGAUUGCAGGCUGCAACUCGCCUGCAUGAAGUCGGAAUUGCUAGUAAUCGUAGGUCAGCAUACUACGGUGAAUACGUUCCCGGGCCUUGUACACACCGCCCGUCAAACCAUGAGAGUUGGCAACACCCGAAGUCGGUAGUCUAACCGCAAGGAGGACGCCGCCGAAGGUGGGGUUGAUGAUUAGGGUUAAGUCGUAACAAGGUACC
rnacentral:rRNA from 1 species